GUCUGUGGCCAAACCACCCUGAAUACACCUGAUCUCCUCUGAUCUCUGAAGCUAAGCAGGGUCAGGCCUGGUUAGUAGCUGGAUGGGAGAAAUAAAAUGAGUGGGGACCAGGUGGUGGUGCACC
ensembl:rRNA 5S_rRNA 5S ribosomal RNA